rnacentral:rRNA from 1 species
GUCGAACGGAGACUGUUCAUCGGAAGUUUUCGGAUGGAAGAAGGAUCGUUUUAGUGGCGGACGGGUGAGUAACACGUGAGCAACCUGCCUUUCAGAGGGGGAUAACAGUUGGAAACGACUGCUAAUACCGCAUGACAUUAGGGGAGGGCAUCCUCUUCUAAUCAAAGGAGCAAUCCGCUGAAAGAUGGGCUCGCGGCCGAUUAGCUAGAUGGCGGGGUAGAGGCCCACCAUGGCGACGAUCGGUAGCCGGACUGAGAGGUUGAACGGCCACAUUGGGACUGAGACACGGCCCAGACUCCUACGGGAGGCAGCAGUGGGGGAUAUUGCACAAUGGGCGAAAGCCUGAUGCAGCGACGCCGCGUGAGGGAAGACGGUCUUCGGAUUGUAAACCUCUGUCUUUGGGGAAGAAGAUGACGGUACCCAAAGAGGAAGCUCCGGCUAACUACGUGCCAGCAGCCGCGGUAAUACGUAGGGAGCGAGCGUUGUCCGGAAUUACUGGGUGUAAAGGGAGCGUAGGCGGGGAUGCAAGUUGGAUGUUUAAACUAUCGGCUCAACCGGUAAUUGCAACCAAAACUGCAACUCUUGAGUGAAGUAGAGGCAGGCGGAAUUCCUAGUGUAGCGGUGAAAUGCGUAGAUAUUAGGAGGAACACCAGUGGCGAAGGCGGCCUGCUGGGCUUUAACUGACGCUGAGGCUCGAAAG